rnacentral:rRNA from 1 species
AUCCUGGCUCAGGAUGAACGCUAGCUACAGGCUUAACACAUGCAAGUCGAGGGGAAACGAUAGAGAAAGCUUGCUUUUUCUAGGCGUCGACCGGCGCACGGGUGAGUAACGCGUAUCCAACCUGCCCAUCACUUGGGGAUAACCUUGCGAAAGUAAGACUAAUACCCAAUGACGUCUCUAGAAGACAUCUGAAAGAGAUUAAAGAUUUAUCGGUGAUGGAUGGGGAUGCGUCUGAUUAGCUUGUUGGCGGGGUAACGGCCCACCAAGGCGACGAUCAGUAGGGGUUCUGAGAGGAAGGCCCCCCACAUUGGAACUGAGACACGGUCCAAACUCCUACGGGAGGCAGCAGUGAGGAAUAUUGGUCAAUGGACGAGAGUCUGAACCAGCCAAGUAGCGUGCAGGAUGACGGCCCUAUGGGUUGUAAACUGCUUUUAUAAGGGAAUAAAGUGAGUCUCGUGAGACUUUUUGCAUGUACCUUAUGAAUAAGGACCGGCUAAUUCCGUG